rnacentral:rRNA from 1 species
GACGAACCGUGCGAGCGUUGUUCGGAAUCACUGGGCUUAAAGGGCGCGUAGGCGGGUUGAUAAGUCAGGGGUGAAAGCCCACGGCUCAACCGUGGAAGUGCCUUUGAUACUGUUCAUCUCGAGGGAGGUAGGGGCGUGCGGAACUUCCGGUGGAGCGGUGAAAUGCGUAGAUAUCGGAAGGAACACCGGUGGCGAAAGCGGCGCGCUGGACCUCUUCUGACGCUGAGGCGCGAAAGCCAGGGGAGCAAACGGG